UACGUAGGGAGCAAGCGUUGUUCGGAUUUACUGGGCGUAAAGGGCGCGUAGGCGGCUUGACAAGUCACUUGUGAAAUCUCUGGGCUUAACCCAGAACGGCCAAGUGAUACUGUCGCGCUAGAGUGCGGAAGGGGCAAUCGGAAUUCUCGGUGUAGCGGUGAAAUGCGUAGAUAUCGAGAGGAACACCUGAGGUGAAGACGGGUUGCUGGGCCGACACUGACGCUGAGGAGCGAAAGCGUGGGGAGCGAACAGG
rnacentral:rRNA from 1 species